rnacentral:rRNA from 1 species
UACGUAGGGGGCAAGCGUUGUCCGGAUUUAUUGGGCGUAAAGAGCUCGUAGGUGGUUCGGUAAGUCGGAUGUGAAAUCUCCAGGCUCAACCUGGAGGGGUCAUUCGAUACUGCCGUGACUAGAGGUCGGUAGGGGAGUGUGGAAUUCCUGGUGGAGCGGUGAAAUGCGCAGAUAUCAGGAGGAACACCAAUGGCGAAGGCAGCUCGCUGGGACGUGACUGACGCUGAGACGCGAAAGCGUGGGGAGCAAACAGG